rnacentral:rRNA from 1 species
UACAGAGGGGGCAAGCGUUAUCCGGAAUUAUUGGGCGUAAAGAGCUCGUAGGCGGUUUGUCGCGUCUGCUGUGAAAACCCGAGGCUCAACCUCGGGCCUGCAGUGGGUACGGGCAGACUAGAGUGCGGUAGGGGAGAUUGGAAUUCCUGGUGUAGCGGUGGAAUGCGCAGAUAUCAGGAGGAACACCGAUGGCGAAGGCAGAUCUCUGGGCCGUAACUGACGCUGAGGAGCGAAAGCAUGGGGAGCGAACAGG